rnacentral:sRNA from 1 species
GUCGUGCGCAUCUUGUAGGGUAUUUUCGUUUGAGCACCAUAAGGUCUUAUUAGUUCUGUUUCUAAUGAUGCGCUAUAUUAGUGUCAUUGUUCUCUUGUUGUGCCUUGAGAUGAGUCUCUUUGUGUUCUCUUGGUGUGCCUUGAGAUUGAGUUAUCUGUGUGGUGUUAUUCCCCAGUAUUGGGGACGCAGGCUUGGGACUCUGCUGGAGUCAAGUCUGAGUUGUAGGCUUGGUAGUUGACUAUUGCCCGUGACGUUGGGUUGGCGUUGUGAGGCCUGAUUGACUAUGGCCCUGAGAUUAAGGUGUGCUAUAGUCCUUUGAAUGUAAUUUGUAAUUGCUAUUGAUAUUUAUUCAUAAUGUAUGCCUCAUAAUAUCAUAUAUAUCAUUAACUCAUUAAACCUUUGUUGUUAUAU